GGCCCCUGUCCGAUUGGAGUAAUAUCACCUCACAUCCUCAUCAGUUAGCUAAUUCGGUUGCCAUCGCUAUGAAGUAGGGGAAUGGUUCUGACUUAUAGCCUUUUGGGGGAUUGUGGCCUUGUGAGUGAGAAAUUCUCUGGACGAUAAUUUCAUUUGGCUAAGCGUAUAUAAGGGGCCCUAGGUGGGCAAACUACCUCAUUUCAGCUAAGCUGCACUUGCCCCAGCCCCGUACUUGGUUUCGUUACAAGACUUUGCUGUCACCCUUUGACAGAACCAAACACUAGUUAAGUUGGCAGUUGUCAUGUGCAUCACGAGUAGGGAUGCAUGCGGGCGUGUCCACAGAGCUCUCAUCCGUCCGUGUUGAUUGUUUCUGUAUUGGCACGGUUAUUAUAGCAGCAGCGAUUAGCUCUGUUUUUAAGGCGUCCGUAAGGCGUCGCUUAGGCGACGCCUAGGCGUCAGGGCGCCCUCCAGGCUCAGGGCGUCGGCCUUGCCUUAGACAGUCGUGUAAGGCGUCCGCCUUAGGCUGUAAGGCGUCUGAAGCGUCCGCCUUAGCGCCGCCUUGCACGCCUCAGACCAAAUCGGACGCCUUAGCUUGUCAGGCAGGGAAACAGAGAUUGCAGGCGGGAAAACUGACCUGGGCGGGAACACAGGCGCGGGAAACAUUGGUUCAGGUGCGACCAGUUAUGAGAAGGGGAAAGAGAGAGUGAAUCGACGCGAGAGGUCUCUCCUGUCUCCUCUCUGGACCAUUGACGGAGGCUUCCUCCUCAGAUCUGCGGCAGCCGCCAGCCUCCUCCCUCCGGCCACAGUUCCUCCCCCUCCUCUCUGGCUGCAGCUCCUCCCCAUCCUCCUCUGGCGCAACCCUCUUCCAGCAGAUCAGCACCACAUCAAGUAGCCAGGUGUACCUGCUCUGAUGGAUCUAGCCAAUGAUCCUAGGAGAAGAGCUACAUCAGAUGAUCCAGCCUGGAAGUAUGGGUUCUGGCCAGAUUUAGAGAGGAAAGAUUUACUCCAGUGUACAUUGUGUGGCAAGAUAGUCCAUGGUGGAGUGAGAAGGCUAAAGCAGCACUUUUCUGGGGGUUCCAGUGAUGCGGAUAAGUGUCCCGAGGCAUCCAUGGAGAUUAGGAUAGAGAUGCACAAUUCCUUAAACACUAGAAAGUUUAAAGCUAUGGAGCGAUAUAUUGAUGAGGAUGAAGCUGAACUUCAAAGGCGCCGUUCUGUCAUAUACACAAGAUGAUUUGAGGCCUAUGCUUUGGUAACAGUUUAUAUGUUAAU